rnacentral:rRNA from 1 species
AUACGGAGGAUGCGAGCGUUAUCCGGAUUUAUUGGGUUUAAAGGGAGCGUAGGUGGGAUAUUAAGUCAGAAGUGAAAUUCCUGAGCUCAACUCGGGCGCUGCUUCUGAAACUGCAGGACUUGAGUGCUGGAGGGGAUAGCGGAAUUCCUAGUGGAGCGGUAGAAUGCGCAGAUAUUAGGAAGAACACCGGUGGCGAAGGCGGCUAUCUGGACAGUAACUGACGCUGAGGCGCGAAAGUGUGGGGAGCAAACAGGAUUAGAUACCCUGGUAGUCCACACUGUAAACGAUGAAUGCUAGGUGUAGGGGGUAUCGACCCCUUCUGUGCCGCAGUUAACACAAUAAGCAUUCCGCCUGGGGAGUACGGCCGCAAGGUUGAAACUCAAAGGAAUUGACGGGG